GACGAACGCUGGCGGCGUGCCUAAUACAUGCAAGUAGAACGCAGUUGCGAACGGGUGAGCAACGCGUAGGUAAAUGCCUGGUAGCGGGGGAUAACUAUGGGAAACGAUAGCUAAUACCGCAUACUACCAGAUGGACCUGCGUUGUAUUAGGUAGUUGGUGGGGUAACGGCCCACCAAGGCAACGAUACAUAGCCGGGUCGGGGAGGUGAUCGGGCACACUGGGACUGGGACCCGGCCCCGGCUCCUACGGGAGGCAGCAAUAGGGAAUCUUUGGAAAUGGGGGGAAACCUGGCCGAGCAACGCCGGGUGAGUGAAGAAGGUUUUCGGGUCGGUAAGCUCUGUUGUUAAGGAAGCGGUACUUACAGAGAAAGGGACGGCUAACUACGUGCCAGCAGCCGCGGUAAUAC
rnacentral:rRNA from 1 species